GGUCUAGGAUUAGGGUUUAGGUAUAGGGUUAGGAUUUGGGUUUAGAAUUUAGGGUAUAGGGUUUAGAAUUUAAGAUUUAGGGUUUAGGGUUUUGGGUUUAGCUGGAAGCGUUAGCGUCGUUAAAAUUAGCAUUUUUAUUUUUUUGUAGCUAUUUUUUAUUUAAUUUAAUAUUUUUUAAUUAAUAAUCUAUGUGUCACUUUGAUUGGUUCUAAAUGGUGGAGUGAAUUUAAAGGUUCAUCCUAGGGGGUGAACCUAAGUUCUAUCAUUUCCCUUUCUAGUCUUUCCAUUAUUCUAUGACGGUGUAAUUCCCUAUAUAUAA
rnacentral:lncRNA from 1 species